AUUGAACGCUGGCGGCAGGCCUAACACAUGCAAGUCGAGCGGUAGAGAGAAGCUUGCUUCUCUUGAGAGCGGCGGACGGGUGAGUAAUGCCUAGGAAUCUGCCUGGUAGUGGGGGAUAACGUUCGGAAACGGACGCUAAUACCGCAUACGUCCUACGGGAGAAAGCAGGGGACCUUCGGGCCUUGCGCUAUCAGAUGAGCCUAGGUCGGAUUAGUUAGUUGGUGGGGUAAUGGCUCACCAAGGCGACGAUCCGUAACUGGUCUGAGAGGAUGAUCAGUCACACUGGAACUGAGACACGGUCCAGACUCCUACGGGAGGCAGCAGUGGGGAAUAUUGGACAAUGGGCGAAAGCCUGAUCCAGCCAUGCCGCGUGUGUGAAGAAGGUCUUCGGAUUGUAAAGCACUUUAAGUUGGGAGGAAGGGCAGUAAAUUAAUACUUUGCUGUUUUGACGUUACCGACAGAAUAAGCACCGGCUAACUCUGUG
rnacentral:rRNA from 1 species